rnacentral:rRNA from 1 species
AGCUUGCUUCUCUUUUAGUGGCGAACGGGUGAGUAAUACAUAAGCAACCUACCUAUACGACCGGGAUAACAGUUGGAAACGACUGCUAAUACCGGAUAGGUGCGCGGGGGACAUCCCCUGCACAUUAAAGCUGGGACACAGCACGAAUGGAUGGGCUUAUGGCGCAUUAGUUAGUUGGCGGGGUAACGGCCCACCAAGACGAUGAUGCGUAGCCGACCUGAGAGGGUGACCGGCCACACUGGGACUGAGACACGGCCCAGACUCCUACGGGAGGCAGCAGUAGGGAAUUUUCGGCAAUGGGCGCAAGCCUGACCGAGCAACGCCGCGUGAGUGAAGAAGGCCUUCGGGUUGUAAAGCUCUGUUGUAAGGGAAGAAUGGCCAAGAGAGGGAAUGCUCUUGGAGUGACGGUACCUUACCAGAAAGCCACGGCUAACUACGUGCCAGCAGCCGCGGUAAUACGUAGGUGGCAAGCGUUAUCCGGAAUUAUUGGGCGUAAAGGGAGCGUAGGCGGUUUGAUAAGUCUGAGGUGAAAGUUCGGGGCUCAACUCCGAAUUGCCUUAGAAACUGUCAGACUAGAGUGCAGGAGAGGGCAAUGGAAUUCCAUGUGUAGCGGUAAAAUGCGUAGAUAUAUGGAGGAACACCAGUGGCGAAGGCGGUUGCCUGGCCUGUAACUGACGCUGAGGCUCGAAAGCGUGGGGAGCAAAUAGGAUUAGAUACCCUAGUAGUCCACGCUGUAAACGAUGAUUACUAAGUGUUGGAGCAAUUCAGUGCUGCAGUUAACGCAAUAAGUAAUCCGCCUGGGGAGUAUGCACGCAAGUGUGAAACUCAAAGGAAUUGACGGGGGCCCGCACAAGCGGUGGAGUAUGUGGUUUAAUUCGAAGCAACGCGAAGAACCUUACCAAGUCUUGACAUACCGUGCAAAACCCUGGAGACAGGGGAAUAGUUAUGGCGGAUACAGGUGGUGCAUGGUUGUCGUCAGCUCGUGUCGUGAGAUGUUGGGUUAAGUCCCGCAACGAGCGCAACCCUUGCCUUUAGUUACCAGCAUUCAGUUGGGGACUCUAGAGGGACUGCCGGUGACAAACCGGAGGAAGGUGGGGAUGACGUCAAAUCAUCAUGCCCCUUAUGACUUGGGCUACACACGUACUACAAUGGCGUAUACAGAGAGACGCGAAAUGGCGACAUGGAGCAAACCUCACAAAGUAC